rnacentral:misc_RNA from 1 species
GUUUUGUUCAAAAAAGGGUUUUGAUGAAGUAUGUGAUUCAAAGAUGAUGGAGGAUUCAAAGUCAAGAAAUAAGGACGAUUUGUUGGUAAGCAAAGAGCCUUUGGAACCAAAUGGUGUUGCUCUUGAUGACGAUGAUGAUUAUGGAAGAAAAUAUUGUAUUGAAGAUGAGGAAUUUGAUGUAAUUGCACUAAGGAGGUUGGCCAAAAUCGAGAGGCAUAGAGCAGACAUGGC